UGUUUUUGGGGUCGUCGUCGGGGCGUCGACGCAAGCUGGGGGGGUAGACUGUAGCAGCAUAAAUGGUACGCUGCCACUUUAAGGUCUAUUUCAGCUGCUGCAUAUAAGCAGGUAUCCACCUGCCACGAAGUUGCUUGCGUCAUGACGUCGUAUCAUUUUGGUUCCUGUGUCUGCUGAACUGUGCUGGCUUCUUUCGUUGCUCCUCCAAAACCUGGACUGAUCUGUUUGUGUUUGCUUGGUGCUGGGAAGCUGCGCUGCAUAGGCGGAAUUGUGACUCCGUUUAUUUGGCAGCCUGGUAAUGAAACAGCUUCCUGAUGAGUCUUUGACCACCAUAAUACUGGAUUUGACACUCGCUGCUGUUUUGCCUAUAAAGAACUGUUUCGCCUAAAGAAAUUCUUAAAAGGACCUAUCUGGACUUUCCCCCUGCUGCCGGGAGCAUUGAUGACACUACCAUCCGGAAAAAGUGCAAUAUUGUAGUGCUAUUGUACCACUGUUUUACUCAUAUCGUUUCAUUUUUGCCUUUCUUUUAGGGACUGAGGCUUCUGUGGUGGCGGUGGUGAUCCCUGGUGGCGUUGUCGGUAUCCCAUAUUAACUUUAACAUCUUACAUUUGGGUUUCAUAAAAAAAAA